rnacentral:rRNA from 1 species
UACGGGGGGGGCAAGCGUUGUCCGGAAUCAUUGGGCGUAAAGAGCGUGUAGGCGGCCAGGUAGGUCGGUUGUGAAAACUGGAGGCUCAACCUUCAGAGGUCGACCGAAACCAUCUGGCUAGAGUCCGGGAGAGGAGAGUGGAAUUCCUGGUGUAGCGGUGAAAUGCGCAGAUAUCAGGAAGAACACCCGUGGCGAAAGCGGCUCUCUGGAACGGUACUGACGCUGAGACGCGAAAGCGUGGGGAGCGAACAGG